rnacentral:misc_RNA from 1 species
UUGAAUAAAAACACUGAAGCAGGUUGUUGCUGGCUCUCCUCGGAGUGCAUGUGCACGCUUGUUCUUCUUUAUUUCUCCAACUGUGCACAAAUGAUAGACCUUGGUCUAUGUCUUCACAAUCUAUAUAUCUGAAUGUACUUGUGGAAUCUGGGGAAUAUAUAUA